AGCAAGCGAGAGUGAGUUUACCCGUUGAAUAAGCACCGGCUAACUACGUGCCAGCAGCCGCGGUAAUACGUAGGGUGCAAGCGUUAUCCGGAAUUAUUGGGCGUAAAGGGCUCGUAGGCGGUUCGUCGCGUCCGGUGUGAAAGUCCAUCGCUUAACGGUGGAUCCGCGCCGGGUACGGGCGGGCUUGAGUGCGGUAGGGGAGACUGGAAUUCCCGGUGUAACGGUGGAAUGUGUAGAUAUCGGGAAGAACACCAAUGGCGAAGGCAGGUCUCUGGGCCGUUACUGACGCUGAGGAGCGAAAGCGUGGGGAGCGAACAGGAUUAGAUACCCUGGUAGUCCACGCCGUAAACGGUGGAUGCUGGAUGUGGGGCCCGUUCCACGGGUUCCGUGUCGGAGCUAACGCGUUAAGCAUCCCGCCUGGGGAGUACGGCCGCAAGGCUAAAACUCAAAGAAAUUGACGGGGGCCCGCACAAGCGGCGGAGCAUGCGGAUUAAUUCGAUGCAACGCGAAGAACCUUACCUGGGCUUGACAUGUUCCCGACGGUCGUAGAGAUACGGCUUCCCUUCGGGGCGGGUUCACAGGUGGUGCAUGGUCGUCGUCAGCUCGUGUCGUGAGAUGUUGGGUUAAGUCCCGCAACGAGCGCAACCCUCGCCCCGUGUUGCCAGCGGAUUAUGCCGGGAACUCACGGGGGACCGCCGGGGUUAACUCGGAGGAAGGUGGGGAUGACGUCAGAUCAUCAUGCCCCUUACGUCCAGGGCUUCACGCAUGCUACAAUGGCCGGUACAACGGGAUGCGACGCGGCGACGCGGAGCGGAUCCCUGAAAACCGGUCUCAGUUCGGAUCGCAGUCUGCAACUCGACUGCGUGAAGGCGGAGUCGCUAGUAAUCGCGAAUCAGCAACGUCGCGGUGAAUGCGUUCCCGGGCCUUGUACACACCGCCCGUCAAGUCAUGAAAGUGGGCAGCACCCGAAGCCGGUGGCCUAACCCCUUGUGGGAUGGAGCCGUCUAAGGUGAGGCUCGUGAUUGGGACUAAGUCGUAACAAGGUAGCCGUACCGGAAGGUGCGGCUG
rnacentral:rRNA from 1 species